rnacentral:rRNA from 1 species
AGGUAAGCUACUAAGAGCGAAUGGUGGAUGCCUUGACUGGUAAAGGCGAUGAAGGACGUACUAGACUGCGAUAAGCUACGGGGAGCUGUCAAGAAGCUUUGAUCCGUAGAUUUCCGAAUGGGGCAACCCAAUGUAUAGAGAUAUACAUUACCUAUAUAGGAGCGAACGAGGGGAAUUGAAACAUCUUAGUACCCUCAGGAAAAGAAAUCAAUAGAGAUUGCGUCAGUAGCGGCGAGCGAAAGCGCAAGAGGGCAAACCCAGUGCUUGCACUGGGGGUUGUAGGACUGCAAUGUGCAAGAGGUAAGUUUAGCAGAACAUUCUGGAAAGUAUAACCAUAGAGGGUGAUAGUCCCGUAUGCGAAAAACAAACCUUAGCUAGCAGUAUCCUGAGUAGGGCGGGACACGAGGAAUCCUGUCUGAAUCCGGGUCGACCACGAUCCAACCCUAAAUACUAAUACCAGAUCGAUAGUGCACAAGUACCGUGAGGGAAAGGUGAAAAGAACUGAGGUGAUCAGAGUGAAAUAGAACCUGAAACCAUUUGCUUACAAUCAUUCAGAGCCCUAUGUAGCAAUACAGGGUGAUGGACUGCCUUUUGCAUAAUGAGCCUGCGAGUUGUGGUGUCUGGCAAGGUUAAGCAAACGCGAAGCCGUAGCGAAAGCGAGUCUGAAUAGGGCGCUUAGUCAGAUGCUGCAGACCCGAAACGAAGUGAUCUAUCCAUGAGCAAGUUGAAGCUAGUGUAAGAACUAGUGGAGGACUGAACCCAUAGGCGUUGAAAAGCCCCGGGAUGACUUGUGGAUAGGGGUGAAAGGCCAAUCAAACUUCGUGAUAGCUGGUUCUCUCCGAAAUAUAUUUAGGUAUAGCGUUGUGUCGUAAUAUAAGGGGGUAGAGCACUGAAUGGGCUAGGGCAUACACCAAUGUACCAAACCCUAUCAAACUCCGAAUACCUUAUAUGUAAUCACAGCAGUCAGGCGGCGAGUGAUAAAAUCCGUCGUCAAGAGGGAAACAACCCAGACUACCAGCUAAGGUCCCUAAAUCUUACUUAAGUGGAAAACGAUGUGAAGUUACUUAAACAACCAGGAGGUUGGCUUAGAAGCAGCCAUCCUUUAAAGAAAGCGUAAUAGCUCACUGGUCUAGUGAUUUUGCGCGGAAAAUAUAACGGGGCUAAAGUAAGUACCGAAGCUGUAGACUUAGUUUACUAAGUGGUAGGAGAGCGUUCUAUUUGCGUCGAAGGUAUACCGGUAAGGAGUGCUGGAGCGAAUAGAAGUGAGCAUGCAGGCAUGAGUAGCGAUAAUUAAUGUGAGAAUCAUUAACGCCGUAAACCCAAGGUUUCCUACGCGAUGCUCGUCAUCGUAGGGUUAGUCGGGUCCUAAGUCGAGUCCGAAAGGGGUAGACGAUGGCAAAUUGGUUAAUAUUCCAAUACCAACAUUAGUGUGCGAUGGAAGGACGCUUAGGGCUAAGGGGGCUAGCGGAUGGAAGUGCUAGUCUAAGGUCGUAGGAGGUUAUACAGGCAAAUCCGUAUAACAAUACUCCGAGAACUGAAAGGCUUUUUGAAGUCUUCGGAUGGAUAGAAGAACCCCUGAUGCCGUCGAGCCAAGAAAAGUUUCUAAGUUUAGCUAAUGUUGCCCGUACCGUAAACCGACACAGGUGGGUGGGAUGAGUAUUCUAAGGCGCGUGGAAGAACUCUCUUUAAGGAACUCUGCAAAAUAGCACCGUAUCUUCGGUAUAAGGUGUGGUUAGCUUUGUAUUAGGAUUUACUCCGAAAGCAAGGAAACUUACAACAAAGAGUCCCUCCCGACUGUUUACCAAAAACACAGCACUCUGCUAACUCGUAAGAGGAUGUAUAGGGUGUGACGCCUGCCCGGUGCUCGAAGGUUAAUUGAUGGGGUUAGCAUUAGCGAAGCUCUUGAUCGAAGCCCGAGUAAACGGCGGCCGUAACUAUAACGGUCCUAAGGUAGCGAAAUUCCUUGUCGGUUAAAUACCGACCUGCAUGAAUGGCGUAACGAGAUGGGAGCUGUCUCAAAGAGGGAUCCAGUGAAAUUGUAGUGGAGGUGAAAAUUCCUCCUACCCGCGGCAAGACGGAAAGACCCCGUGGACCUUUACUACAGCUUGACACUGCUACUUGGAUAAGAAUGUGCAGGAUAGGUGGGAGGCUUUGAGUAUAUGACGCCAGUUGUAUAUGAGCCAUUGUUGAGAUACCACUCUUUCUUAUUUGGGUAGCUAACCAGCUUGAGUUAUCCUCAAGUGGGACAAUGUCUGGUGGGUAGUUUGACUGGGGCGGUCGCCUCCCAAAUAAUAACGGAGG